UUUAAGCUUAUGACUCGUUAUUAAAGGCAUGUCAAAUGAAUUAGAAGUCUAUAAUCUAAUUAUUCAAGUAUGUUUAAUUUCCAGAAUUUUGUAUAGUUUUGUAAUUCAGAAGUGCAUAAAAGCAAAUCACCAGAUUACAAGAACCCCAACCAGCACACAUCGACAGAGUAAUAAUUAGUUUGAACAAGGUUUCGCAUGGCCUUAAUCCAUUAGCUAUUACUAAGUUAACAUACAAGCAUAUGUUAAUCAGAGAACAAUAUGUUGGGAUAGAGAAUCAUAUAGAAAGGUAAUAAAGUUGACGAUAUAGAAAUCAUGAAUUAAUUAGGAGUUUGUUAAGCGAUGAACACUUAAAAUAGGACAGAGCUCAUGAAAGUUGAGAAACCAAAUAGACAUAGGCCUAACAGACAUGCUGAAAACAAGAAACACAUAGGUCUAAUUUCAUGGAAGUAGACAUGCUGAUUCAGAGUAAUAAAUAUGAAGCAUAUAUGUCUAAUUACAUAUGAUUAAAUAUGUUGAUUAAGAUCAAUAAGCAUGAAGCACAUAUGUCUAACUACAACAUAUUGAAUGGUGGCAGAAGUGGAGAUAUACCAGUUAAGAGAUAGUAAACAGAAAGUUAAAAAUAUGAAGGAUCUAAUAGUGUAGCCUUGGCUUUCAACCAGCUAGACAAUGUAGCAAACAUAAGUAACAGAAAGGUUUGAAUGAGAGCAAUAGUUUUUGUGUGUGUGUGUGUGUGUGUUUUUUUUUUUUUGAGUGUUUGUGUAAGUCUAAAUCUAUUUUGAAAAUUAUAAUAAGAAGAUUUUUAUAGCAUGCAAUAGGGUAGGUCACAUAAGGUAAUGAAUCAAUCACAUAUACAUAAGGUAUGAAAAUCAAUCAGCAAUCAAUCAUGAAUAAAUUAAGAGGACAAAGUCAAAUAAGUACCACUUAAUUUAAGAAAAAAUCUCACACAUAAUCAAUCCAUAAUUAAGAGCAAGGUUAAUAAGGUAAGAAACAGUUUCCAAAAUCAAUUAGGAAACAUGACACAUAAUCAAGCCAAUAAUACAUAUACAUAGAUAAGGUAAGAACAAGUAAAACUUAAAUAAGGAAAUAUGGGUACUAAAUUCAAACCCUAAUUUAGGUAAGUAAAUAAAUUAACAAUUUAAUUGAUAGAGUUAAAGGUAACGAGCGAAAGACAACGGGAUAAAUAGUCAGAGAAUCAAAAUCCUAGGAUAUGUCAAAGAUAUAGAGAUGAAACAAAAAAAAAGGAAUCGGUCCAGAUAGUAAAGAAGAAAACCAUAAUUGAAAGCAUUUAAACGUCUAAGCAUUUUUACAGAAAACUCGUUAGAAAUAACAACCCUAGGAUUUAGAACAUAGUCAUGAGGAUAAGUCGAACAAACAAAAAAAUUAGGGUUAAACACCUAAAAAGUUACUAUUUUUCAGAAACAUAAAGGGAUUAAACCCUAACUUUAGAGAAGACGAAAAUUGGUUAAUAAUAAGAAAACACAUAAAGUUUUUAAAGAGAAAUAACAAAUAAACUUAAAAUUGUCUCACAUCUACAAGUACCUGAACAGAUUCGAGCAACAAGAGACUAGGGCUUUAAAAGAAUGACUGAGAUGAAAGAAAAUAUGGUUUGGAACCAUAGAUUCGAGCUAUAAACACGAAGAUAAUAGUACUCACAAAUGGAGAUGAUCAUAGGUAGGUCCGUAAAAAGGUUUUUGAAUGAAUCUGAGUUGAAUAUCCUUGAGUUUCCUCUAUAUAACAACAAAAUCGAACAACCAAAAGAGGUAUGAGAUCGGUAUGGGCCGGAAAUCACCAGAUGAACCCUUAUCUGGUCAAGAAUCGAAAGGUUUAAGGGUUUUUUCGAGUGAUGUCCCUCCAGGGUUUGAGAGUGUCUUACAGAGAAGAAAGGAGGAUAUGAUUUGGGGGCAGCGCAAUUGGAGAGAAUGGGUAGGGUUUGGG
rnacentral:lncRNA from 1 species